rnacentral:ncRNA from 1 species
GAUUGUCGAAGGAACGACCUUAAUUCACAAUC